ensembl:lncRNA
AAUCCACACCGGAAGGAAAUUUCCGCCCACGCUUCACCUGGACGCAGAUGAGCUUGUCCAGGAUGCCCAGCAGAUGGCGCAGUUGUUCUCUUUAUCUUCCCGCCUUGGCCUACUAAAGAAGACAAAGACCAGGGCGUUGUGGUGAUGGGCCGGAUCUGGGGCUUGCUCACUGUUUGGUCCCCAGCACCUGGGACAGUGCCUGCACUUACAGAUGCUUGAGACCCACUGCGCCUUCUUCAGCUGGCAGUGGAAGGGUCCCCCAUGGAUAAGGGCAUCCGGCAGAGUCAGCUCCUCUUCUCCGGCUCCUGGCAAGGUGGCUCAGCCUGCUGCGGUCUCGGCUCCAGCCCUCCCGAGGCCUCACCAGGGGCUGGCAGGACUGAAGAAGGCGUGUCUGGUCUCCAGGCGAGCUGCCGAGGGAAGCCUUCCCUGACUGUAGCGGGUGGCUCUGGGAUGGACGCUGCCCACACGUGCCAAUCCAGCCUCUGCCUUCGUACUUGUAAACAUACUCAGGGGCCCCUCAUGAGUCUGAUGCAGCCACUGAGAUCAACCUACUGAGAGGGCAAAGCGUCUUCACUUAACACUGG